rnacentral:tRNA from 1 species
GCCUCUUUAGCUCAGCUGGUAGAGCUUCUGAUUCGUAAUCAGAAGGUCGCUGGUUCGAAUCCAGUAGGGGGCU